CUCCCCUCGGCCUUCCUUGUUGCAGUACGGAUCCUCUCUGCCCCCGCCUGCCGACUGAAUAAAGUGUUGGACGAAAAGAAAAGUGCCCCCUAAAUAAAUAAUA